UACGGAAGGCAGCAGUGGGGAAUAUUGCACAAUGGGCGCAAGCCUGAUGCAGCCAUGCCGCGUGUAUGAAAAAGGCCUUCGGGUUGUAAAGUACUUUCAGUCGUGAGGAAGGUGUUAAGGUUAAUAACCUUAGCAAUUGACGUUAGCGACAGAAGAAGCACCGGCUAACUCCGUGCCAGCAGCCGCGGUAAUACGGAGGGUGCGAGCGUUAAUCGGAAUUACUGGGCGUAAAGGGCACGCAGGCGGUUAAUUAAGUUGGAUGUGAAAUCCCCGGGCUUAACCUGGGAAUGGCAUUCAAGACUGGUUAGCUAGAGUCUUGUAGAGGGGGUAGAAUUCCAUGUGUAGCGGUGAAAUGCGUAGAGAUGUGGAGGAAUACCGGUGGCGAAGGCGGCCCCCUGGACAAAAGGACUGACGCUCAUGUGCGAAAGCGUGGGGAGCAAACAGGGAUUAGAUACC
rnacentral:rRNA from 1 species